rnacentral:lncRNA from 1 species
GAAGUGAUGGUUAAAUAUGAUCCACAAUUUUGGUUGUGGUUGUAAAUAUGAAUGUGACUUAGGAUUUAGUCGACAGUCUGUGAACAUGUCUUUAUGGUUAAGAAAAGAAGUCUCUGUAUGUCUGGUAUUCAAUUUGUCUGUUUCAAUUGCUUUCAUUGUGCUGUCUGUUAAAAGAUACAACUACUUUGAGCUUUUUAGGUAAUUCCCAGAUUUAUUUUAUUAUCCAAGUCAUCAU